GGGAGUCACGGUUGUUGUUGUUGUUGGGAUUUUUCGACGGUGUUUUCAGGUGUUUUUGGGCGUCUGUUUUUAUCAUAUGGGAUGUUAUUGACGCUGCUGAUUAUGAGCGGGACUAUCACUCGCCUCGUGAAUCGAUUUGGACACGUCAGCAGAGCCCAUCGUCGUUUUGGUUUUGAUCUUAUCGCCCAACUUUGUCAGAGUAUCUUGUAGUCGUGUGCCAAAUUCGAGCGAAUCGAUCAUCGAGACUUGUCGGCCAUAAAAGUGAACAACAACAAACUUCUUCUUCUUCUCCUUCCAAAAUGGGCGACGAGCACGACGACGCCAACCGAAAAGGCUGGCCACUGGAAAGCUGCCAACUGCACGUGCCUCCGCUGGACGAGCUGGCCCAUGUCCUUCGUCAAGGCCUCGCCUUACAUUUCGCUUUUGUCCAAGUGGAUGUCGUCGACUGUCCAGAUCUGAGCCAAUCUCCGUUCCACCUAACUGCACCUGGUUUAGGUGGCGAUCCAUCUUUGGUAGAUUUAGGUGGCGUUCCUUAUUUGGUGCCAACGGUCCAUCGCGAUCGAAUCUACGAUCUGGCCGAUUUGCCGGCCGUCAUGAACGUCAAGGACGGCACAGUUUCGAUGAUUGGAGCCGGAGCCGGACCGUGGCAACAUCUGGAAACCAACUGCGAAAUGAUGACUAAUCUGUCGCUCUCGCUGGUGGCCGGCAAGAGCAGCCUGGUCGUCGACAACGGGACCCGAUUGGCCACAGUCGAUCCGGCCGGCCGGAGAAUUCUGCACGUCGUGCCGCCGAAACAGACUCGCUGCUCUUUGCUCAAUAACCUGUUGGUCUCCCGCGGACUCCCCCGUACGCCCGUCCUCAGAAUCCGCUGCCAAAAACGUACCGGCCCAGACAACUUUGUUACCUGCAUGCGCAACACCCUUCGAGAGCGUUACGGCGAUAAACCAGUCGGUAUGGGGGGCGUGUUCAUGCUGGAAAACGGCCAAGCCAGGUUACACAUCAUGCCCGACUUUUCCCCGUGUCCGUUGCAGACGGACGCCGAUGUGAACAACUGGCUCCACUUCUACAACGCCACCGGGCCAUUGAUUAACCUCAGCGUGUUCAUCUCGCACGACCCCGUAAUCAUUUGAAUGGAUUGAAAGUUGCCAGAGCUUUUUUAUCCAGCUGGCCGAUUUUUAUGUGGGCUGGAUCUACGGGUGGAGCACACUCAUUGCUUUUCCACUCACGGCGAAGGCGGCCACUAUCACGAGGACGUCAGUCCAGAAACAGUUGUCUACGAGGGCUACUUCACGCCAGCUGAGCGCCUCUUCCGCAUUG
rnacentral:misc_RNA from 1 species